CCUACGGGGUGCUGCAGUGGGGAAUAUUGGGCAAUGGGCGCAAGCCUGACCCAGCAACGCCGCGUGAAGGAAGAAGGCUUUCGGGUUGUAAACUUCUUUUCUCAGGGACGAAGCAAGUGACGGUACCUGAGGAAUAAGCCACGGCUAACUACGGGCCAGCAGCCGCGGUAAUACGUAGGUGGCAAGCGUUAUCCGGAUUUACUGGGUGUAAAGGGCGUGUAGGCGGGACGGCAAGUCAGAUGUGAAAACCACGGGCUCCCCCUGUGGCCUGCAUUUGAAACGGUAGUUCUUGAGUACCGGAGAGCUCAUCGGAAUUCCUUGUGUAGCGGUGCACUGCGUCGAUAUCAGGAAGAAC
rnacentral:rRNA from 1 species